GAUGGGAGCUUGCUCCCUGAGGUUAGCGGCGGACGGGUGAGUAACACGUGGGUAACCUGCCUGUAAGACUGGGAUAACUCCGGGAAACCGGGGCUAAUACCGGAUGCUUGAUUGAACCGCAUGGUUCAAUCAUAAAAGAUGGCUUCGGCUAUCACUUACAGAUGGACCCGCGGCGCAAUAACUAGUUGGUGAAGUAACGGCUCACCAAGGCGACCAAGCCUAACCCAACUGAAAAGGUGAUCGGCCACACUGGGACUGAAACACGGCCCAAACUCCUACGGGAAGCAGCAAUAAGGAAUCUUCCGCAAUGGACGAAAGUCUGACGGAACAACGCCCCGUGAGUGAUGAAGGUUUUCCGAACGUAAAACUCUGGUGUUAAGGAAAAACAAGUACCGUUCCAACAGGGCGGUACCUUGACGGUACCUAACCAGAAAGCCACGGCUAACUACCUGCCAACAACCGCGGUAAUACCUAAGUGGCAAGCGUUGUCCGGAAUUAUUGGGCGUAAAGCGCGCGCAGGCGGUUUCCUAAGUCUGAAGUGAAAACCCCCGGCUCAACCGGGGAAGGUCAUUGGAAACUGGGGAACUUGAAUGCAGAAAAAGAAAAUGGAAUUCCACGUGUAACGGUGAAAUGCCUAAAAAUGUGGAAGAACACCAGUGGCCAAAGCCACUCUCUGGUCUGUAACUGACGCUGAAGCGCCAAAGCCUGGGGAACGAACAGGAAUAAAUACCCUGGUAAUCCACGCCGUAAACGAUGAAUGCUAAGUGUUAGAAGGUUUCCGCCCUUUAGUGCUGCAGCAAACGCAUUAAGCACUCCGCCUGGGGAAUACGGUCGCAAGACUGAAACUCAAAGGAAUUGACGGGGGCCCGCACAAGCGGUGGAACAUGUGGUUUAAUUCGAAGCAACGCGAAAAACCUUACCAGGUCUUGACAUCCUCUGACACCCCUAAAAAUAGGGCUUCCCCUUCGGGGGCAAAAUGACAGGUGGUGCAUGGUUGUCCUCAGCUCCGGUCCUGAAAAUGUUGGGUUAAGUCCCGCAACGAAGCGCAACCCUUGAUCUUAGUUGCCAGCAUUCAGUUGGG
rnacentral:rRNA from 1 species